UGAUUGUAGAAAUGAAUGCUAAUACCUAUAAAAGGAUAAAGGGCAUCCUAAAAUUAUGAAAGCUAUAUGCGCUGUGAAAGAGCUCGCGUCCCAUUAUCUAGUUGGAGACGUAACAGCUCACCAAGGAGAUGAUGGGUAGCCAGCGUGAGAGGGUAUCGCCCAAAAGGGGAUUGAGACACGCCCUUUAUUCUUAUGGGAGGCAGCAGUGGGGAAUAUUGGACAAUGGACCGAGAGUCUGAUCCAGCAAUUCUGUGUGCACGAUGAAGUUUUUCGGAAUGUAAAGUGCUUUCAGUUGGGAAGAAAGAAAUGACGGUACCAACAGAAGAAGUGACGGCUAAAUACGUGCCAGCAGCCGCGGUAAUACGUAUGUCACGAGCGUUAUCCGGAUUUAUUGGGCGUAAAGCGCGUCUAGGUGGUUAUAUAAGUCUGAUGUGAAAAUGCAGGGCUCAACUCUGUAUUGCGUUGGAAACUGUAUAACUAGAGUACUGGAGAGGUAAGCGGAACUACAAGUGUAGAGGUGAAAUUCGUAGAUAUUUGUAGGAAUGCCGAUGGGGAAGCCAGCUUACUGGACAGAUACUGACGCUGAAGCGCGAAAGCGUGGGUAGCAAACAGG
rnacentral:rRNA from 1 species